GACGAACGCUGGCGGCGUGGAUUAGGCAUGCAAGUCGAACGGUAUCAUCCUUUCGGGGGUGAGAGAGUGGCGAACUGGUGAGUAACACGUAGGUUAUCUACCCUCAAGACGGGGACAACCCAGGGAAACUUGGGCUAAUACCGGAUGUGAGCAACUUUUAGUUGUUUGAAAGGUGGCGUAAGCUGUCGCUUGGGGAUGAGCCUGCGUCCUAUUAGUUAGUUGGUGAGGUAACGGCUCACCUAGGCAAUGAUAGGUAGGCGGCCUUAACGGGUGGUCGCCCACACUGGGAUUGAGAUACGGCCCAGACUCCUACGGGAGGCAGCAGUCGAGAAUAGUCUACAAUGGUCGGAAGACUGAUAGUGCGACGCCGCGUGAACGAUGAAUCCCUUCGGGGUGUAAAGUUCUUUUAUAUGUGAGCAGUGCUUCUUAUAUUAACAGUAUGGGGAGAGAGAUAUUAGCAUAUGAAUAAAGCAACGGCUAACUCCGUGCCAGCAGCCGCGGU
rnacentral:rRNA from 1 species